rnacentral:rRNA from 1 species
AUUGAACGCUGGCGGCAUGCCUUACACAUGCAAGUCGAACGGUAACAGGUUAAGCUGACGAGUGGCGACCGGGUGAGUAAUGUAUCGGAACGUGCCCAGUCGUGGGGGAUAACUGCUCGAAAGAGCAGCUAAUACCGCAUACGAACUGAGGGUUAAAGCGGGGGAUCGCAAGACCUCGCGCGAUUGGAGCGGCCGAUAUCAGAUUAGGUAGUUGGUGAGGUAAAGGCUCACCAAGCCGACGAUCUGUAGCUGGUCUGAGAGGACGACCAGCCACACUGGGACUGAGACACGGCCCAGACUCCUACGGGAGGCAGCAGUGGGGAAUUUUGGACAAUGGGCGCAAGCCUGAUCCAGCCAUGCCGCGUGCGGGAAGAAGGCCUUCGGGUUGUAAACCGCUUUUGUCAGGGAAGAAAAGGUUCUGGCUAAUACCUGGGACUCAUGACGGUACCUGAAGAAUAAGCACCGGCUAACUACGUG